ACUCAAAGGAAUUGACGGGGGCCCGCACAAGCAGCGGAGCGUGUGGUUUAAUUCGAUGCAACGCGAAGAACCUUACCCGGGCUUGACAUGCAGGUGGUACCCGAGGGAAACCGAGGGGACCCGCGAGGGAGCCUGCACAGGUGCUGCACGGCUGUCGUCAGCUCGUGCCGUGAGGUGUUGGGUUAAGUCCCGCAACGAGCGCAACCCCCGCCGCCAGUUACCACGUCUGGCGGGACCGCCGGGACCAACCCGGAGGAAGGUGGGGACGACGUCAAGUCAGCAUGGCCCUUACGUCCGGGGCGACACACACGCUACAAUGGCCGGGACAAUGGGCCGCGAAGGGGCGACCCGGAGCCAAUCCCAGCAAACCCGGCCCCAGUUCGGAUCGGAGGCUGCAACCCGCCUCCGUGAAGUCGGAGUUGCUAGUAACCGCCGGUCAGCACACGGCGGUGAAUGCGUUCCCGGGCCUUGCACACACCGCCCGU
rnacentral:rRNA from 1 species